AAUAGUUAAUAACGAAAAUAACAAUAAAGAAACAAAUAAAAAAAACCCUUAUUUCCCCCUUUAACCCUAACAUCACCCACCGUACUGUACAUCAUCGCCAUCCAUCAGCAACCUUCAUCCUUUCUCAACCGGCUAUCGUCUUCCACCACCGCCUCCGUCACCCCGUCGCACCCUCACCACUCCGAAUUACCACCGCCGCAUCGCCUCCACCAACAACCGCCGGUCUCGUCAGCGUCAAACACCCCGCCACCGGUUCCAACCAACAACAACGCCAUCUCCGUCGCUGCCUUCCACCACACCAUCAUUCACUGCAGCAUCAGGUAAGUUUUUGUCCUUUUCUCUUUACAACCAUGUCUACCGGUUGAAACCACUACCACUUAUCGACUAUCUGGUGACAACACACCCGAACCAACCCACAUCCUCACCGUUCCGGCUAACCCCGAUACCGAUUUAAGUCGGACCCCUGUUACCAGACCCGAACAGUUCCAAUUCCAUAACUUUUGUCUUCGUUGGUCAUGAAUAAAUUAUAAUUUCAUCAUGAAAUUGAAAUUGGUUUGAUAUCACUGAUCAUACAAAUUGCAUUAAUUGGAAUGGGUUGAUGCGGUCAUAAAUUGCUUUUGUUCUAAUUGAUGGUAUAUAUCUUGAGUUUAUUGAAUCAGGGUUGUGCAUAUCACGACCACUUUGAGGUAUGUUACUUGAUUUGUGAGAACACCAGGUAUGUUGCUUCAUAAUCGUGUUACGGAUUAAUCAAUUAAUGGAGCCAUAUAUAGUCAUUUGUGGUGAGCUUGCCGAUCAGCAGGCAAUGCUUCGUCUCAUGUAUGCUCGUCAGCGUGAGAUGGGUCGCACCAUCGUCUCUCUCCGUGAUCACAGAGAUCGACUUAGAUGUCCGCCACCUUCGUAGAUGCCUUCCACAUAUUCCUCCGAGCCUCGAGGACGAUGCUAUAUCUUAAGCUUGGGGAGGUUAAGGUUAGAGAUGCAGAGUGAUCGCGAGUGACAAAGAUGGAUCUUUAAAAGGGUAGGAAUCGCGAAUGAUAAAAGAGAUUAGGACAUGUGAAUGUUCAAGUUAUAUGAUAAAAAAAUGAUUGUUGGUGGCUUGAAAGGAUGGAAUGGAAACAGUUGAUGAUGAUGUAAAAAUUAGAUGGAGUUUUCUUCAUCAUACGUGUGACAACCCUCAAAAUUCCAUGUAUUCCGUACAAUUUGUUAUUAAUAAUGAAAGUGCUUGACGACUGUGUGGAAUUACUUAA